CCCUUAGAUGUCCUGGGCGGCCCGCGCACUACAAUGGCGCUUUCAGCGAGUUCCUAUGUUGAAUUUUCCUGGGUAUUCUUGGAAGCGGCGUCUUGACUUGGGAUAGAUCCUUGUAAUUGUUGGUUUUGAACGAGGAAUUCCUUGUAAUCGCGGUUGAUCAGCUCGCGUUGAAUACGUCCCUGCCCUUUGUACACACCGCCCGUCGCUCCUACCGAUGAAUCGUCCGGUGAAGUUCACAGAGUGGCGGUUCGUGGAGUUGCUCGCGAAGUGAAAUGGACCUCACGAUUUAGAGGAAGGAGAAGUCGUAACA
rnacentral:rRNA from 1 species